UAAGGAGUCUAUGUCUUCUAUGAUAACAGAUCAUUUAGCAAAGACGUACUGAAGUAACGAGGUGCAGAGUGGAAAUUGACAGUAAAAUGCCAUUGUGCAUGUUUGGAGAAUGCAAUUCUCGAAGAACAGAUGACUAACCAGUCACGCUCGAAUAAAAAAAGGAAAAAGGAAAAAUAAAGAACGAAGAUGAAGAGGACUGAGGACCCAACAUUCUGAAAGGUUUUGCCAUAUACAGAGGUUUCCACGCGACGUGUCACCAAAGAAACCAAACGACACAGAUAUUUGACAAGUAAGAACAGUUCCAUGGUGACAGAAUACGUCCUAAAGAUUUUUGAUAUGAAGACGUGCUUCAAUCAUUACUGAGAUGUAAUUGUCUGUAAUUCAGGAAGUGUCAAGCAAGAUACCAUAUCGCAGUAGAUGUGUGUCAAACCCAUAUUUUCUAACAACUAAUAUAACCCGAUUUAAAUGGUUCAUUUCGUAAAUACUCUUCAUAUGUCAACAUUUUUAUCAAUUUAUCUGACAGGAGCAAAACUAUGAGUAACUUCAGUGGAGUCGAUUCAGUUUCAGUUUGUAUUGUCAUUUUGUGAAUUUUAUAGAUAAAGAUAUGAAC